AUUGAACGCUGGCGGCAGGCCUAACACAUGCAAGUCGAACGGUAGCACAGGGGAGCUUGCUCCUCGGGUGACGAGUGGCGGACGGGUGAGUAAUGUCUGGGGAUCUGCCCGAUAGAGGGGGAUAACCACUGGAAACGGUGGCUAAUACCGCAUAACGUCGCAAGACCAAAGAGGGGGACCUUCGGGCCUCUCACUAUCGGAUGAACCCAGAUGGGAUUAGCUAGUAGGCGGGGUAACGGCCCACCUAGGCGACGAUCCCUAGCUGGUCUGAGAGGAUGACCAGCCACACUGGAACUGAGACACGGUCCAGACUCCUACGGGAGGCAGCAGUGGGGAAUAUUGCACAAUGGGCGCAAGCCUGAUGCAGCCAUGCCGCGUGUAUGAAGAAGGCCUUCGGGUUGUAAAGUACUUUCAGCGGGGAGGAAGGCGAUGUGGUUAAUAACCGCAUUGAUUGACGUUACCCGCAGAAGAAGCACCGGCUAACUCCGUGCCAGCCGCCGCAGUAA
rnacentral:rRNA from 1 species